AGAGUUUGAUCCUGGCUCAGAACGAACGCUGGCGGCGUGCCUAACACAUGCAAGUCGAACGCGAAAGGGGGCAACCCCCGGUAGCGUGGCAGACGGGUGAGUAACACGUGGGUAACCUACCCGGAGGUGGGGGAUAACCCUUCGAAAGGAGGGCUAAUACCGCAUGACACCGCGGGGACUUCGGUCCUCGCGAUCAAAGCUGGCCUCUGUUUACAAGCUAGCGCCACCGGAUGGGCCCGCGCCCCAUUAGCUAGUUGGUGAGGUAACGGCUCACCAAGGCGACGAUGGGUAGCCGGCCUGAGAGGGCGAUCGGCCACACUGGAACUGCGACACGGUCCAGACUCCUACGGGAGGCAGCAGUGAGGAAUAUUGCGCAAUGGGCGAAAGCCUGACGCAGCGACGCCGCGUGGAGGAUGAAGGUCUUCGGAUUGUAAACUCCUGUCGAGUGGGACGAAUGCCGUGAGGGUGAACAAUCCUCGCGGUUGACGGUACCGCUGGAGGAAGCCCCGGCUAACUCCGUGCCAGCAGCCGCGGUAAUACGGAGGGGGCUAGCGUUGUUCGGAAUCAUUGGGCGUAAAGGGCGCGUAGGCGGCCGAUCAAGUCGGAGGUGAAAUCCCUCGGCUCAACUGAGGAAUUGCCUUCGAUACUGUUCGGCUUGAGUCCUGGAGAGGGUAGCGGAAUUCCCGGUGUAGCGGUGAAAUGCGUAGAGACCGGGAAGAACACCAGUGGCGAAGGCGGCUACCUGGACAGGUACUGACGCUGAAGCGCGAAAGCUAGGGGAGCAAACAGGAUUAGAUACCCCAGUAGUCC
rnacentral:rRNA from 1 species